rnacentral:sRNA from 1 species
UACCAAUGUUUACACAAUGUCUUGGUGA